UGCCCCUUCUCCAUUUACCACUAUCCGCGACACAUUCACUCAAGAAAGCUCCAUACUUUUCUCUGCAACCGCCAAGCCCGUUUCUCAUCCGAUUUGCGUCGACCUACAACCUGCCGUAGCCAAGCCACAUUCGAAACUACGAUCUUCAAUACAAGAAUUUUUCCAUUUCCCGAUCUGCAUAUAAUUUUUUAAAUUAAUAUAAUGUUUAGUAUGUUUUCGAGUGAUCUGAAGUGAAGUGAGUAAUUGUAAGUGUUAGUGCUGUUUUUCAAUUUACGUGUAACGUUAAUGUUUAGUGGAUUAAAAGUGUAAUUUGGAAUAUCAAUAGAAUAGAAGAAUCGAAGAACUUUUGUUACAAGACAUACUGUGGAAUUUUUGAUUUUUGAUUUUUGGAUGGAUGGAAAUUCUAUAUUUAGUUAUGAUACAAUUUCAAACAUAUAUAUAAAACGAACCAAAAAAAAAUGAUAUUAAAAUUUGGUUCAAUUAAUCAAAAUGUUCAAGAUCAAUGAAGAAACUCGAUUUGCAAAAAUAUGGAAUUAGGACGAUGAAGAAAGUGAAGGUCUGACUACUCGAAAGGAAAAUGGAAUUCCAUAACUACAUGUUGCUUUGGAUUAUUUGUA